rnacentral:ncRNA from 2 species
UAACUUAGCUAGUAAAUAGGUGUAUAACAGGGAAGCAGGUGAGAUUCCUGGACUGUACCAGCAACCGUGAAUCGGAUGUCUAUUCAUAAACCAUCGGAAACGAGAAGGAGAAUAGAUAGAUGAAGGAAGUCGGGAGACCUACCUAUUUAUUAAAUACAUU